rnacentral:rRNA from 1 species
AAAAUUAAAUUAUUAUUUUUAUUUUUAAUUUUAUUUAUUUAUAUUAAAAAUAUUUAUUUAUUUUAUUAUUUUUUAGAAAAAAUUUUAUUAAUUAUAGAUAAUAGUAUUGUAGAAGAAUGGAUUUAAUUUUUAAAAAGAAAAAUUUAAUUUUUGUACCUUGUGUAUCAGGGCUUAUUAAAUUUAAUUUAAUUAUUUAAAAAUAUCGAAUUUGAAAGAUCUAAAUAUUUAUUAAUAUUAUUGUAAAAUAAAUAUUUUCAAUAAAUUUUUAGUAAUGAAAUGUUAUUCGUUUUCAAAUAUAUCUAUUUUUUUAAGAAAUAAAUUUAAUUUAGUUAUUAUUAAUAAUUAUUUAUUUUUUUAAUUUUUUAUUAAUAAUAAUAAAAAUUUUUAGGGAUGAGCUUAAAAAUUUCUUUUUAUUAAAAUAUUAUUUAUAAAUUAAAAUUAGGAUUAUAAAUUUUCAUAUUUUAAAGUAUGUUAUUAUUUAUUUAUUAAAUAUAAUAUUUUUAUAUUUUAUAAGUUUUAUAUUAAAAUAUAAAUUUAAAUUGUAAAAAUUUAGAAAUAAUGAUAAGAUUAGUAUAAGAAAUUAUUUAAAUAAUAUAAUAUUUUAAUUUAAUUAAAGUAAUUCGGCAAAUAUUUUUUCACCUGUUUAUUAAAAACAUGUCUUUUUGUUUUAUAUUUAAAGUCUGGUCUGCCCACUGAAUUUUUAAAUGGCCGCGGUAUUUUGACCGUGCUAAGGUAGCAUAAUCAUUAGUUUUUUAAUUGAAAGCUGGAAUGAAAGGUUGGAUGAAAAAAAGACUGUCUCUAUUUAAAAAAUAAAAUUUUAUUUUUAAGUUAAAAAGCUUAAAUAAUUUUAAAAGACGAGAAGACCCUAUAGAGUUUUAUAAAAUUUAUUUAUUUUUAUAGUUAGAAUUUUAUUAUUUAUAAUAGUAUAUUUAUUUAAUUGGGGUGAUUGAAAAAUUUAAUAAACUUUUUUUUUUUAUAUAAGUGUUUGAUCCAUUUUGUAUUGAUUAUAAGAUUAAAUUACCUUAGGGAUAACAGCGUAAUUUUAUUGGAGAGUUCAAAUCGAUAAUAGAGAUUGCGACCUCGAUGUUGGAUUAAAAUUUAUAAUAGGUGUAGAAGUUUAUUAGAUUAAGUCUGUUCGACUUUUAAAAUUUUACAUGAUCUGAGUUUAAACCGGUGUAAGCCAGGUUGGUUUCUAUCUUUAAUUUAUAAAUAUAUUUUAGUACGAAAGGACCAGAUAUAUAAAUAAAAUUUUUUAUUUGAUGAUUAAU